rnacentral:lncRNA from 1 species
AUGCUAUUUUGUACCCAAAUAACAAUUGUUCCUGUUACACUUUACCAUCAUGCUUAUAAAUUCUCAGAUCCUGGAUCCUGGAUCCUGUCAAUUCAAAAUGGUCUCAAAUCAGACAAGAUGGGGUGGCAAAAGAAAGGAGGGAGCGUCCUGCUCAAACAGUGUGUAUUGUGGAGUGUGUUAGUCACAACGAUGCACAGUCAAGCUUCUUUCUGUUCAUCAUCAUCAUUGCAUGGAACAUAUCACAGAAACUGGAGUAUCAUCCAGUUUAAGCAGUUCUGCUCAUUGAAUCAGUGGUAAGAUUUGCCUAUUUAUGACUUUAAGCUACUUACCAGGUGAUUAUUGCAAACACUUAUUAAACAGCAAAGGCAAUGUGAGAUUCUCUAUUCCCCAGCUGUGUCCUACAACUUUUUUUAUCC